rnacentral:lncRNA from 1 species
GUGACUCUCAUCUUGGAUUGUAACUCCCACAAUUCCCAUGUGUCAUGGGCAGGAAUUCAGUGGGAGGUGAUUGAAUUAUGGAGGUAGAUCUCUCCUGUGCUGUUCUGGUAAUAGUGAGUAGGUCUCACAAGACCUGAUGGUUUUAUAAAAGGGAAUUUUCCUGCACAAGCUCUCUUCUCUUGUCUGCUGCCAUGUGAGAAGUGCCUUUCACCUUCCGCCAUGAUUGUGAG